rnacentral:rRNA from 1 species
UACGUAGGAGGCAAGCGUUGUCCGGAGUUACUGGGCGUAAAGCGCACGUAGGCGGGUCGUUAAGUCGGGGGGGAAAUCCUGGAGCUCAACUCCAGAACUGCCUUCGAUACUGGCGAUCUUGAGUCUGGGAGAGGUGAGUGGAACUCCGAGUGUAGAGGUGAAAUUCGUAGAUAUUCGGAAGAACACCAGUGGCGAAGGCGGCUCACUGGCCCGGUACUGACGCUGAGGUGCGAAAGCGUGGGGAGCAAACAGG